rnacentral:lncRNA from 1 species
UGAAGUCAUCUUAAGUUGAGAAAACAAAAGAUGUAUAAGAGUAAUUGCUACAGCGGAAGUCUAACAUAUGAAUUUUAACUCUAGCCUCAGCUCCGUCCCGUCAGCACCAGCCAGCCAACCUGAAAACAUUUGAAAGUAUUUUUGGGCUAAGUACUAAUGUACUCAGUGGGCAUGCAUUUUCAUAAACAUUUCAUAUUUUCGUAAAGACAGUUUAUCCAAUCAUAAUUUACAUAACUUAGAAGGUUUUAAAUUGAAAGAACUUCUAAGCAUGUUAAAAUAAUUUCUUUCAUUUGUGCGCACAUGUCACACUCCCUUUCCGUUACUCGCUGUGAUCCCGGACCUUUUAGCCACCGACGGAUCCAUUACUCCUGCUUUACUUGGACUGAGGGCGUAACCCAGCCAAGCUCCCAUUUGGGACCCAAUGCUCCGGAACACAUCCCGUCGAGCACCCUUAUAACGCCUCAUACAUGAUUAGUGCCCGAUGGAGAUCAACCCACCAGGUCAGCUAAUAGGUGUACACAAUUCUCAAAUAACGUGUUAGGUCAAGAGAGAACCUCGAUCGAUUCAUUGUUGCGAGCCUUAAACGGAGCAGAGUGCACAAAAUAUUUUAUUGGAUAAACAGUUUGCAUUUAAUAGAAUAAACAAUUUGCAUUUCAUUGAAACAUUUAGAGCUUAAUAACUCAAUCAUACUUUAUACAUUUGGAAAGUAAGCCCACCUGAAUAGGCAAAGCCUGAAGAUCAUAAUCACAUAAACUCGUCUUGGGAAAGCAGCGCUAAUCCCCUUGGUUCAUAAAGCCUACAAGAAAUUCUAUUCUUAAUAGGUCUCGUGAAGCUAACUUAAAGUCUUAGUGGAUGUACUAAACAUACUUGAUUCAUCACGCCGGGUUUCCAAAAUUUAGUAAAUAAAUAAUUGAAAACUAAAUUAUUGAGUUAAGGACACCAACAAUAUCUUUACUCGAUUUUCUUAAAUAAUUGAAUUUAUGAAUAAACCAAUUAAAUCAUAAAUACUUUUAUUGCAUGAUGCAAAUGCAAUGUCAUGUCAUGCUUAGCAUAUAUAUGAUAAGUAAUUACUUAAAAUAUGCACUUCAUAAUAAUAAUAUUAUUAUGCAAAUCAUCUUUAAAAUAAUUAAUCAAAUUAAUUAUAGUCAAAUUAAUUAAAUUAUGGACUACCCAAAAUAAUUAAAUGUAAGGGCCAAUUCUUAGAAUUCCGCAGCCCAGGCAAUUAUAACAAAGGCCCAAACUAUUAAAUAAACUCAGCCCACAUAAAAUUAAUAAUACAAUCGGGCCCAAACACUAUUAAAUAAAUUCCGGCCCAGUCUAAUUAAAACCAAUCAGCCCAACUGCAAGCCCUAAGCCCAAACCAAAUUCCUCUCCCUUUUCUUCUUCUCCUACAGCCGCUCCCCUCCCCCUUCAUUCUCGUCUCUCUCUGUUUUCACAAAACACACACACACACACAGCCCGCUGGCGCCGGCGACACCGCCGUCGCCUCUCCACCCUCGUCCCUUCCUCCACCGCCUGACACCCCCACACAACGCAGAACUCUCCCUCUCUCUCAAAGCUCACGACACGCACAACGCAGCCACGCAGCAGCACGGCAUCGCCCUCAACUCCGGCGACAUCGCCGUCGAGCCGCCCUCUCGCCCCUCAACCUUCCUCUCUCUCUCACAAAGCUCCGUCGCUGCGGAAGCUCGCCGGGGAGCAGCGGCGAAAAGCCGCCGUCACCCACUGCUCUCCCCUCUCUCCGUCCGUGGCCGAGCGCCAACGGCAGGGCCGCCGCGCUCUGGCCUCCCUCUGUCUGACUCCUAUCGAAGCAGUCGCCCAUCCCCCUACCCUCUGCUCCCUCCGGCCGACAGCAGCGAGGACCGCCGCUGACCGCCGCCCCCUGACCUCUAGUCCAGCCCUCUGCAACCCCAGCUCAGUCCAUCUCCCUCUGUUUCCGGCGAGCAGCAGCGGAAGCCGCCACUUCGCCGCCCCUCCACCGACUCACACACAUACCGCACAUACUCAACAGGACACAUAUACACAACAGUCAAGCCUCGACCAAGCCUCGACACAGCAAGUUCGAAAAGUUAAAGCUUCAAGACUCUUCUUUCAUAAAGAUCUUUUCUUUUCUUUUCCUUUCAAUGAAUCAUGCUUUCAUUUAUAAAUAUAUGCACAGACUAUGAAUAAACAUGUAUACAGAUUGUAUGCAUUUAUGUAAAUAAUUUGUCAUGCUUGUGAAUUUGUUAUGAAAAUAUUGAAAUCUUGGUUGGUGUUCUGUACAAACGAGAUAGCUGUGUGUGCUUGAAACAGAGGCAAAGUAAAUUGAGGUAAACACCUUGUGAUGUCUGUGUAGGGGAAGAGUUCUUUGAAUGGUGGUCUCUUGUUGUAUACUUGAAACUCCAUGGAUAGGCUGGAACGAGAGAGUAAUUUGAAGGAUAUUUGAGUUGCUAGUGAAAGUGCAAAGGAUGGGUUUCCUUCAAUUAUGCAGAGAUAUUUGAGGGCUGAAAUUAGGGGAGUUGGUGGCUGCCAAGCAUGACUAAAUCUUGACUUUUGAAGUUGAUUGGGUUGACAUGAGAUGGAGUGGGGUGGCUG